rnacentral:sRNA from 2 species
GGCUAACCGAUUACACGCUGUUACCGCGUGGUUAUUUCUUCUUCCUUAAGCUGAGGCUAGUCAAAUGUUGAAACAUUAUUGACUUGGGGUGGAAGGGGAAAGAAGACUGGGAAGAGGAGCAAGCGAGGAUCAUUGUUGUUCAAAAAUACUACUAUGGGCUUAUUUUGAGGACUGAGACUCAGUUGAAUGGGCGUUUGGCUUUUCUCAUCUACCUUUCGCCUGCGACAUGGUGUGGAUGGCUCCCAGCCACUUCCCCUACUCCAAACCCCCAAAGUGAUAUCCUCUUUACAAAAGCCAAGCAUGAGUGUUAACAUAUUAAAUAUAUACGC